rnacentral:pre_miRNA from 1 species
GAUGUACUCCCUCCGUUCCAAAUUACUCGUCGCAGAAAUGAAUGUAUCUAGAACUAGAAUGCAUCUAGAUACAUCCAAUUCUGUGACGAGUAAUUUGGAACGGAGGGAGUACAUA